rnacentral:rRNA from 1 species
GACGAACGCUGGCGGCGUGCUUAACACAUGCAAGUCGAACGGAAAGGCCCUGCUUUUGUGGGGUGCUCGAGUGGCGAACGGGUGAGUAACACGUGAGUAACCUGCCCUUGACUUUGGGAUAACUUCAGGAAACUGGGGCUAAUACCGGAUAGGAGCUCCUGCUGCAUGGUGGGGGUUGGAAAGUUUCGGCGGUUGGGGAUGGACUCGCGGCUUAUCAGCUUGUUGGUGGGGUAGUGGCUUACCAAGGCUUUGACGGGUAGCCGGCCUGAGAGGGUGACCGGCCACAUGGGGACGGGGUUACGGCCCAGACUCCUACGGGGGGAAGCGGUGGGGAAUAUUGCACAAUGGGCGGAGGCUGAUGCAGCAACGCCGCGUGCGGGAUGACGGCCUUCGGGUUGUAAACCGCUUUCGCCUGUGACGAAGCGUGAGUGACGGUAAUGGGUAAAGAAGCACCGGCUAACUACGUG